CUGAUUGGCUUUGUUCAUCCGUCACUCACCGUUAGGCUUCACGGACUCUGCAUAAGGGAGGAGCUUCGGGUCUGGGUCUGAGAGACCGUCUCCAGAAGAAAUGCCACGGUACGAUUAGUGGAAACAACGCGGCAGGGAGCGGAGCGUACCAGCGGCAAGGUAAGGCGGGCACUUCCGCCAGGAUAGCCCAAUGACAGAGGUGGGACAGUUUCUAUAAAAGCUUGAGCCUCGCCCGCCCCUGUCUUUUCGAGGUCGAGUCCGAAGCGGAAGAGGUUUGUUAAUAUGUUUGCCAUGUGCUACGCUCUUGGGACGAACUGAGCCACGAGCGUGGCUUUGAGGGCCGUCCGAACGCUGCAGGCCGGCCAGGUCCCUGGGCGUCCAGGCCUGGCCUACGCUCCACUUUGUCCCUUAGCGUUUAAAGGUUUCUUCCCGAAUCUCAGGCCCUCAGCUACCUGCAGGUUUCGUCGCGAGCCGGCUGCAAGUUUUGAACCUAAGUAAACCUCAAUCCGGAGGGCCUAGCGGUAAGGUGGGCGCUGUGUCUAUUGAAGUGCUUAGCAAUAAAGCAAAGGUAGUGAGUUGA